rnacentral:lncRNA from 1 species
GAUGGCAAGAUAGUGGUGUUGUAAAGAAUAAGAAAGAACGCGAGAUGUGCCUGUACCAACAGAUGCAGCUAGGAAAAAAUUAUCAAUCGGUAAGGUUUUUCAUUGGUUGAUAUUGGCUUUAAACUAGGUGUCAAUGACUAGUCUCAGAUCUGUACAUAAAGUGUCUUUAUGUUGGUGGGAUGUACAAGUACACUGUUUUUGUUAUAUGUAGGCAGGUCUUUUUUAUCCAUCUAUGAAAAAAGCCCCUUUCAACUCAUCUUCGCUAGCCAAGGGUUACGAUCCACUCCCGUUCUCUUCACAGAAGUGGAUCAUAACCCUUGGCUAGUGAAGAUACUUUCAACUGAUUUUUUUAAGUUCUUUCUUAUUC